rnacentral:rRNA from 1 species
GACGAACGCUGGCGGCGUGCUUAACACAUGCAUGUCGAACGGAAAGGCCCUGCUUUUGUGGGGUGCUCGAGUGGCGAACGGGUGAGUAACACGUGAGUAACCUGCCCUUGACUUUGGGAUAACUUCAGGAAACUGGGGCUAAUACCGGAUAGGAGCUCCUGCUGCAUGGUGGGGGUUGGAAAGUUUCGGCGGUUGGGGAUGGGCUCGCGGCUUAUCAGCUUGUUGGUGGGGUAGUGGCUUACCAAGGCUUUGACGGGUAGCCGGCCUGAGAGGGUGACCGGCCACAUUGGGACUGAGAUACGGCCCAGACUCCUACGGGAGGCAGCAGUGGGGAAUAUUGCGCAAUGGGCGGAAGCCUGAUGCAGCAACGCCGCGUGCGGGAUGACGGCCUUCGGGUUGUAAACCGCUUUCGCCUGUGACGAAGCGUGAGUGACGGUAAUGGGUAAAGAAGCACCGGCUAACUACGUG